rnacentral:pre_miRNA from 1 species
AGAGUGCAGCUCAGCCAAGGAUGAAUUGCCGGCGUAUGAUUAUAUUUUUAAUUUGUCGGCAAUUUGUCAUUUGGCUAUGUUGGGCUCUUU